rnacentral:rRNA from 1 species
CAGUAGCGCGGUAACACAGAGGGUGCAAGCGUUAAUCGGAAUUACUGGGCGUAAAGCGCGCGUAGGUGGUUUGUUAAGUUGGAUGUGAAAGCCCCGGGCUCAACCUGGGAACUGCAUCCAAAACUGGCAAGCUAGAGUACGGUAGAGGGUGGUGGAAUUUCCUGUGUAGCGGUGAAAUGCGUAGAUAUAGGAAGGAACACCAGUGGCGAAGGCGACCACCUGGACUGAUACUGACACUGAGGUGCGAAAGCGUGGGGAGCAAACAGGAUUAGAUACCCCCGUAGUCCCUGUCUCUUAUACC